rnacentral:rRNA from 1 species
UACAGAGGGUGCGAGCGUUAAUCGGAAUUACUGGGCGUAAAGCGCGCGUAGGCGGUUUUGUAAGUCGGGUGUGAAAUCCCCAGGCUCAACCUGGGAACUGCAUUCGAGACUGCAUAGCUAGAGUAUGGGAGAGGGAAGUGGAAUUUCAGGUGUAGCGGUGAAAUGCGUAGAUAUCUGAAGGAACAUCAGUGGCGAAAGCGACUUCCUGGACCAAUACUGACGCUCAUGUGCGAAAGCGUGGGGAGCAAACAGG